GCCUAUGGCCAAACCACCCUGAAAAUGCCCGAUCCUAUCUGAUCCCGGAAGCUAAGCAGGGUUGGGCCUAGUGCUUGAAAGGGAGAAAUGGAAA
rnacentral:rRNA from 1 species